CCCGCCUCCAGGGGGCGGUGUGCGCCCCCGGCGCUGGAGCAGCCGCGUUUCGGGGACCCGGGCAGGCGUGGGGGGCUGCGCUGAGCUCCAGGCCUCCUGCAGGACGGAACAUGCUGCUGGUUUUUCCAUGUCUCGGUCUCCUUCUGCUGAGUAUUCUUCUAUUUCAAUCAUGGGUGUAGCAGCCCAUUUCAACAUACUGAAAACACUCACCCUAGCAAUUCUGUGCAUAUCCUCUAGGGCUUUCAAGUCCCUGCUGUGGACAAUCUGCAUGUGACAGCUGAGACAGGAGGAAGAGGCCCAAGGGAACGCAUUCCUGCUAGGACAGAGCUGGCUGGCUGCACAGUGGAGAGUGUUUGCUGGAAGCUGCUACCAGCCAUGGGGCACCUACCCGCCCAGCGGCCCUUGCAUCCAGAUGCAGAGCCCUGGACAAAGGACGGAGCUGUGAAAACAGUGCCUGGAGGAUCUGAUCCCUUCUAGCAAGGCCAAGAGACACGGCUGGGCUGGGGAGGACGGGGUCUCCAGGCCUCACCAUGGCCACUUAUCUAGACGCCAGCAUCAAAAGGUUCAAAGCCCAGGUCACAGGCUCAUGAAAAAAUUAAGCAGGUAUCAAAAAAUAUCACAAAGGCAACAGUUUUAUGACAUGAAAACAUCUAUCAGAGACAAUAUAAACCUGUCUGCUAAUAGAACCAGGUAAAACUGUCUAAAUUAAAUUCCGAAGAAAUUUCAAUUUUAUUUUACUAAUGAUUUUAAAAACUAGCUUUAUUUACCCAACAUGACUAAAGUCCCAUUGACCUGAAAAGCAUUUGGGCUUAUUUACUUAAUUUAUGAGUACUCCUUUAUUUAUAAGUCUAUUCAGUACCAUGUAGACAAUGUUCAAACACAGACAUAUGCACGCAUACAUAAAAAUACAAAUGAACACAAAAAAAUAAAGACUACAUGCUUUUAUUUUUAAAAUUUUAGCCAUGAGACUGGUAAAAUUCACUAGUUUAAAAGGACAGUUGUAUUAAAUUGUGUCUCUGUAAAUGGAACAAUUUAAAAUGUAUCUGUCCUACAUGGUUGAAGUCCUUACCUUACAGAGUUUUAGAGAAAGCAGGGUAGCAAAUUUACAUCUCAAAGCACAGAGAGAAUUUUAGCUUUCUCAAGGAGGAGUUUGAGUGUGUUAGAGCAAGAUUAAAAAUGGAUUUCAAGGUAACAAAAAGUUAUAGAAAUCCACCACAGGAUGUUUUUCAUUUUGUUUUUGGAGGCAGGGUCUCACUCUGUCGCUGAGGCUGGAGCGCAAUGGCGCAAUCAUGGCUCACUGAAGUCUCGACCUGGGUUCAAGCAAUCCCUUUGCCUGAACCUCCUGAGUAGCUGCUACUAUAGGCACACGUCAUCAACCUGGCUAAUUUAAAAAUAUAUAUAUAUUUAUAUAUAAAAUAUAAAAUAUAUUCUAAUAUAUUUAUAAUAUUUUAUAUAUUUAUAAU
rnacentral:lncRNA from 1 species